rnacentral:rRNA from 1 species
UACGUAGGGAGCAAGCGUUGUCCGGAAUCAUUGGGCGUAAAGCGCGCGUAGGUGGCUUCGUAAGUCCGUUGUGAAAGUCAAAGGCUCAACCUUUGAAAGCCGAUGGAUACUGCGGAGCUAGAGUACGGAAGAGGCGAGUGGAAUUCCUGGUGUAGCGGUGGAAUGCGCAGAUAUCGGGAGGAACACCAGCGGCGAAGGCGGCACUCUGGGCUGGAACUGACGCUGAGGAGCGAAAGCGUGGGUAGCAAACAGG